rnacentral:tRNA from 1 species
GCCGCUCUAGCCCAACGGCAGAGGCGCCGUCUUCAGGAGGCGGAGGUUCAGGGUUCGAAUCCCUGGAGCGGCA